rnacentral:rRNA from 1 species
GACGAACGCUGGCGGCGUGCCUAAUACAUGCAAGUUGAGCGCUGAAGGUUGGUACUUGUACCAACUGGAUGAGCAGCGAACGGGUGAGUAACGCGUGGGUAACCUGCCUUUGAGCGGGGGACAACAUUUGGAAACGAAUGCUAAUACCGCAUAAAAACUUUAAACACAAGUUUUAAGUUUGAAAGAUGCAAUUGCAUCACUCAAAGAUGAUCCCGCGUUGUAUUAGCUAGGUGGUGAGGUAAAGGCCCACCAAGGCGAUGGUACAUAGCCGAACUGGGAGGGUGAUCGGACACAUUGGGACUGAGACACGGCCCAAACUCCUACGGGAGGCAGCAAUAGGGGAUCUUCGGGAAUGGGAGAAAGUCUGACCGGGCAACGCCGCGGGGAGGGAGAAGGUUUUCGGGUCGGAAAACUCUGUUGGUAGAGAAGAAAGUUGGUGAGAGUGGAAAGCUCAUCAAGUGACGGUAACUACCCAGAAAGCGACGGCUAACUACGUG